GGAGUUUCCCGAAUACAUGGGAGAAGAAGGUGGAGGUGAAAGAGAGAAUUCACUCUCUUUUAGACGCGCUACUCUAGAGGAACGGGAUAAGUUUGAGAUGGCCGAAUUAGAGAAGAAGUUCGUGACCUACGGGAGGCAGCAGUGGGGAAUUUUUCGCAAUGGGCGAAAGCCUGACGGAGCAAUGCCGCGUGGAGGUGGAAGGCCUACGGGUCAUCAACUUCUUUUCUCGGAGAAGAAACAAUGAUGGUAUCUGAGGAAUAAGCAUCGACCCAAAUAAGAAUAGGAUAGAUAUGU
rnacentral:ncRNA from 1 species